CAGCAGGUGUGUGACAGAUGUUCAGACAAUUGACAAAGCAUUUGGUGACCAGUCUGUUUUUACAAUAACAUGGAAGUGAUUUACCUGAUGUCUUGCGGAUAAUGGUAGAAAUCCUGACAUAAUGGAUAUCAUGAUUUGCUGUAUAUGUCACCAUGCAGUUGAAGACAACCAAGGCUCUAAACUUACAGUAAAAGGAUGCAGUGGAAUAAAUGAUGCUAGCUUGAAGAGACAGGAUAAUGUUCAGGCUGUUCCAGGAAAUUUUGUUCACAUUGC